rnacentral:rRNA from 1 species
AGGGAAUCUUCCGCAAUGGACGAAAGUCUGACGGAGCAACGCCGCGUGAGUGAUGAAGGCCUUCGGGUCGUAAAACUCUGUUGUCAGGGAAGAACAAGUACCGGAGUAACUGCCGGUACCUUGACGGUACCUGACCAGAAAGCCACGGCUAACUACGUGCCAGCAGCCGCGGUAAUACGUAGGUGGCAAGCGUUGUCCGGAAUUAUUGGGCGUAAAGCGCGCGCAGGCGGUCCUUUAAGUCUGAUGUGAAAGCCCACGGCUCAACCGUGGAGGGUCAUUGGAAACUGGGGGACUUGAGUGCAGAAGAGGAAAGCGGAAUUCCACGUGUAGCGGUGAAAUGCGUAGAGAUGUGGAGGAACACCAGUGGCGAAGGCGGUUCUCUGGACUGUAACUGACGCUGAGGCACGAAAGCGUGGGUAGCAAAC